AAUUAUAAGUAAUAAAAAAAAUAUUAUUUAUUCGAAUAAUUUUGAAUAUAAAUUACUAUUGUGCUAUCAUUCUUACUUUAAUUUUAUUGUAUAAUUUCAAUGUAUUUAACUGUUAAUGAUGGACGUAUCAGCUCGUGUUAUUAUACUAAUACGUCUUUAGCCUUACCAUUUAAGGCUCAUAUUGUAUAGUGCUGGCACUCCAAAUUGUGGUGUUGUAUGUAUGCAGCGCACAAGAAAUUCAAAUAUUGUCAGUUGACCCAUACCCAACUGUCUUUGUGCUCGCAAAAUUUUGUUGUUUUGUUGUUGCCAUAUUACAGGUUGAUCCCUAUGAAUUUCGAUUCCAUCUCUUGCUCGCCUUAUGUCUUUAGUAAUGGCUCCAAUAUAUGUUUAUUACUUUUCUUACCAACAAAAGACCAAGGUGAUGGAUUUGGAUGCGUGAAAUGGCUCAUCAAGUUCCUGUGGCUCGCUUCCAAAAUAUUAUUUGUUCUAUCAGUACGCCCAUGUACUGAGAGAGUAACAGGGCCAAUUUCUGAAAAGAAGAAGUAUCAUGAAUAGUCAGGUUCACCAAUUUCAAUAAAAUCUACCAGUCCAUUAAAAUGAUUGAAAAUGCAGUUAAAUCCAUCAACAAUGUCUUGGGAUGGUAACAAAGGCAAUGCCAUUAACAUGUGGACAAUUUUCCAGAAGAAUGGAUUUGUCUUGGCUAACUCUGUCAGACCUAAGGGUAAUAAAUAUAAUUGAACAACCUUCUUCGCCAUGUCCUCUUACUGUACCAGCAUAAAUAUUUACUCCCAAGAUAGCUGCUCUAUCACGAUAUGGGCCAUCUAGCUGAAGACUAAACUCUUCCAUUGAUUGCGGAUUUUGUGGUUGACCAUCUUUCCGAAAUCUUGCCAUUGUUCUACGAAGGCUUUCAUAGCGGUUCACAUUAACAUCAACAAAUGUUUCAUUUGUGGACAUCUAAUAUUCAAUUAAAUACAUAAAACUAUCACAGCAUCCUUGACAGCAUCUAAAUAACAUAGCUACACAGAAUGCAUUUUAUUCAGUCCAGAGUGGUUUUAGAGCAAAACCACCUAUAAUAAAAUCAAAAGAUAACAACAUUUCAAAAACAAUGUGAUGGACUCACUCAUUCUGACGUUAUGCUUGUAUAUGUGUGUUUAUUUACUAUAUUAAUCGUAUUGUAAUAAUCAAUAUUGUGUUAGUUUAAUUGUUCAAAAUAGUAUUAACAUUAUUAUUAUUAAAAGUGUUGUCUUCCACUCUAAUUU